ensembl:snoRNA small nucleolar RNA SNORA16B/SNORA16A family
UGUGGCCCUUAUCCAGGCUGCAGCUGGGGGGAUACAGGGUGAGGGGAAAGAAAUUAUUUUUUAAAAAGGAGUCCUUAGUGACAGUUUUCCUUGAUGGUCACCAUUCCGAUACCUGUAACAGAUCUGCCACAUUUUGGGAAAAGACAGUU